AGAGUUUGAUCAUGGCUCAGAUUGAACGCUGGCGGAAUGCUUUACACAUGCAAGUCGAACGGCAGCACGGGGCAACCUGGUGGCGAGUGGCGAACGGGUGAGUAAUACAUCGGAACGUGCCCAAUCGUGGGGGAUAACGUAGCGAAAGUUACGCUAAUACCGCAUACGAUCUACGGAUGAAAGCGGGGGAUCGCAAGACCUCGCGCGAAUGGAGCGGCCGAUGUCAGAUUAGGUAGUUGGUGGGGUAAAGGCUCACCAAGCCAACGAUCUGUAGCUGGUCUGAGAGGACGACCAGCCACACUGGAACUGAGACACGGUCCAGACUCCUACGGGAGGCAGCAGUGGGGAAUUUUGGACAAUGGGCGCAAGCCUGAUCCAGCCAUUCCGCGUGCAGGAUGAAGGCCUUCGGGUUGUAAACUGUCUUUGUACGGAACGAAAGGUCCUGGUUAAUACCUGGGGCUAAUGACGGUACCGUAAGAAUAAGCACCGGCUAACUACGUG
rnacentral:rRNA from 1 species